rnacentral:rRNA from 1 species
UGGGGAAUAUUGGGCAAUGGGCGAAAGCCUGACCCAGCGACGCCGCGUGGGUGAUGAAGGCCUUCGGGUUGUAAAGCCCUGUCAUGUGGAAAGAACAGUUCUGCGGUUAAUACCCGCGGACUUUGACGGUACCACAGGAGGAAGCAACGGCUAACUCCGUGCCAGCAGCCGCGGUAAUACUGAGGGUGCAAGCGUUGUUCGGAAUUAUUGGGCGUAAAGGGCGCGUAGGCGGUUGUGAAAGUCAGAUGUGAAAUACUUCGGCUCAACUUAAGAACUGCAUCUGAAACUUCAUAACGAGAGAACAGGAGAGGGAAACGGAAUUCCCGGUGUAGAGGUGAAAUUCGUAGAUAUCGGGAGGAACACCAGUGGCGAAUGCGGUUUCCUGGCCUGAUACUGACGCUGAGGCGCGAAAGCGUGGGGAGCAAACA